rnacentral:rRNA from 1 species
GACGAACGCUGGCGGCGUGCUUAACACAUGCAAGUCGAACGGUGAAGCGCCUUCCUUUUUGGUGGGUGUGGGUGAGUGGCGAACGGGUGAGUAACACGUGAGUAACCUGCCCCCUUCUUCUGGAUAACCGCCUGAAAGUGUGGCUAAUACGGGAUAUUCUGGGUCUGUCGCAUGAUGGGUCUGGGAAAGAUAUUGUUUCGGUGGGGGAUGGACUCGCGGCCUAUCAGCUUUUUGGUGGGGUGUUGGCCUACCAAGGCGGUGAAGGAUAGCAGCCAUGAGAGUGUCGAAGAUAACAAUGGGAAGGAUACACGGCCUAGACACAUACGGGAGGCAGCACGGGGGAAAAUUGCACAAUGGGAGAAAGGCUGAUGCAGCGACGCCGCGGGGGGGAUGGAAGCCUACGGAUUGUGAACCGCUUACGACAGUGAAGCAGGCAUGCCUCGUUUGAGGGUGGGUUGAAGGUAGCUGGAUAAGAAGCGCCGGCUAACUACGUG